rnacentral:rRNA from 1 species
AACGAACGCUGGCGGCAGGCCUAACACAUGCAAGUCGAGCGAGGACUUCGGUUCUAGCGGCGGACGGGUGAGUAACGCGUGGGAAUGUGCCCUUCUCUACGGAAUAGCCCUGGGAAACUGGGAGUAAUACCGUAUACGCCCUAUUGGGGAAAGAUUUAUCGGAGAAGGAUCAGCCCGCGUUGGAUUAGGUAGUUGGUGGUGUAAUGGCCUACCAAGCCGACGAUCCAUAGCUGGUUUGAGAGGAUGAUCAGCCACACUGGGACUGAGACACGGCCCAGACUCCUACGGGAGGCAGCAGUGGGGAAUCUUAGACAAUGGGGGCAACCCUGAUCUAGCCAUGCCGCGUGAGUGAUGAAGGCCUUAGGGUUGUAAAGCUCUUUCAGCUGGGAAGAUAAUGACGGUACCAGCAGAAGAAGCCCCGGCUAACUCCGUG